UUUACCUGUUCUUCGCAAACUUUUCAACAACUUCAAACUUCCGCGAAACGCAUUUUCGUCGCAAAUUUGAGGUCAAGAGUGCAAACAAACGCCGAUUAUUACCUGUUGUCGUAGGUUAUCCGACAGACUUGGCCAAAACAACACGCACAAACGCAAACAUUUAUUUAAUCACUUUAAAGCCACUUUUAAGGCACACACUGAUCACUUUUACGCACUGUGGACUCUUACAUGGUGUUCGCACACUUGGUUCGGUAGUUGGGUGAUGGUUUUUCUGGAGAUGAUUUGAAAAUUCCUCGAAACGGUACCCACACACCUCAACCGCGUCCUCGCAACUCGCAACACACACUUCACAAGAAAAAACCUUAAAACUUGUGUUAUUUGGAAGAACAAAAAUGGGACUUCACUUUAUGAAAAAUCACUGUAAAGCAGGCUUUAACGUCAAAUUUGACUUUUCAAAAACGUCAAAAUUCCACAUUACUGACAAGUUCAAGGGGUACCACAACAUGCUAUAGAGCGGAAAAAAUCAAAUAUAUUCGAGUACAGUUGCCGGACGACACGGAAUCCUAGGCAGUCUUUUCUUGUCAUUUCAAAAUAUGUCAAUAUAAAUGCACUUUUAUUGUCAUUAUUACAAAAACUUCGACUUUGUCAGUGUCAAAAAGACAAAUAUGCCAAACAUUAAAAACUUGGUUAUGGGUACCUAAGGACCUAAG